GUAGGCGAACCUGCGGAAGGAUCAUUACCAUAUCCAAAAAACUUUACCAACCCACCGUGUGAACCGUUUUCUUUUUGCUACACUUGGGGUGAGCCGGCCGUUACCCAUGGCCUUAUCCACAAACAUUGGCCUGGUGUCAUGUUUGGGGGUGGACUGUGCGGCGAGGGUUGGGUUGCCCCACCUGUGCGAAACUUUUCAAAACAACCCCUGGUCAAACCAAAAAAUAUACCCACUCUGAUCUAUUUUUUUU
rnacentral:misc_RNA from 1 species